AAAAACAAUAAAUACACUUCUUAAAAACAAUUGAAACAUUAGAAAAGGAUAUCCAGUGGGAAGUAGGUCCACAUCUCUCAGAAGUGUUCCAUGCACAUACAAACAUAUGUUUUAUAUCAAUUUAUAACUCUAUCUUUGCAUAUCAUCUUAUUCUCUCCUUUUUUUCACAGGUACCAUGUCCUCUUCUGUACCUUGAUAUUUUUCACUUAAGUAAUUUUGGAGGUUUUUCCAGAACAGUACAUGUAGAUCAAGCUCAUUUUCAAUGCUGCAUGGUAUUCCAGGAUGGAGAUCUGGGGAGACAGAGUGGUGGGGAUUCUUCAGAAACCCACCGAUGAAAGAAGACACCUUCAUUAAAAUAGACUUCUGGAUUUCCAUCAGUGACAGGCUUCUGGAGGGGCAGAGCCAAGUGGCAGCCCUUAACAGCCAGCAGCAAGCAGGCACUUCAGCUGAGUCCUGUGCAUGCUAAGGUCUGAGAACUCUGACCUUAAGAGAAGGAGAGGCUGGGAAGCCUUGAGAAGGGACCCUGUAACAUUGCUAAGGAAGAUGGUUAUUGGAGAAUGACCAUGGAUUCUUAUAGAAUCAUUCAGCAGCAUCCCUGGCCUCUACCCCCCGGUUGUGACAUCCAGAAAUCUCUACAGACAUCGCCAGAUAUCCUCGGGGGAGCAGAACUGCCCUCACUUGAGAAUCCCUGGCCUACAGCAUGUCUAGGUAAGCCUCGAGGUGAGUAAAGCACUGGCUGACACUUAACUGCAACCUCGUGAGAGACCCCGAGCCAGAUCUUUCUAACUAAGCUAUUCCUGGAUUCCUGACUCUCAGAAACCAUGAGAGAUAAUGAAUGCUUGUUGCUACGUUUGGGGAUAAUGUGUUUUGCAGCAAUACACUGAUGCACCAAGCCAUACGGCUGGCGUACACAGCAGCAAUUGUCGUCCAGUGUAGGUAGUGUACACCAGACUGGAGUUGAGCAGGUCCUGAAUGUGCAGAUGGUGGAGGAAGAAACUGUUUGGACCAGGUUCACAGAUGGUCCCUUACAAUUUGAAGGCAUCAGAUAGAUGUGGACUGUAGAAGCAUUAUAGCCCAAAGCAGGAAUGGGAGCCCAGGGGAAUGCAGACAGCCCACGUCACACUCCUGAAGUUGCCAAAAAUCCCUUUAAAAUGAUCCAACAGAUGUCCCUCCUUGGGGUCUAGCGGAUAUAAAUCACAAUGGUCUGCUUUCAAUUCCUAACUUGGUGUCUUAGGGGCAGCAAAAUCAAUCACUCUCAGGUGAGAAAGAGCUUCAGGAUCAGGAGGCAGGGUGCCUUCUCCGUGGAAAGAGGAUGGAGUUUAAGGAGAGACACAUGAGUUUGAAUCUGGACUGGCUCUGCCAUUGGCUGUAGGAACCUC